UAUGAUAGAUACGAAAUAGAUUUGUGUGAAGCUUCUUUGUACUAGAGAGUAGAGACAAAGCGAUGCAAUGUUGAACAAAAGUAAGUAUUAACGCUCUCCAACUUAGGCUACCAUGAAUACAUUUAUACACAAAUGAAAUAUAGAUAGAAUGCUCCAGUUCUGCUUUAGCCUCAAAUUAAAGGUUACGUUGCUGAGCCACAGAAUACUCCCUAGCCCUUCAUCGCCGUCGCCAUUCCCGGAUCCUCAGCGCCGCUGCCGCCCCAGGUCCUCAGCGCUGCCGCUUCUUCCUCUUUCCCGUGUCCGGAACCCAGUAGAUCGGCACGUCGCCUUCAUCUUCGCCGGCUUCUUAGUGGCUUCUCGUCUUCAUCUUCAGUUCUUCACUAAAUGUUUAGUCUUGUUCUUGGUUUGAACUUUGAAGCUCUGAAGUAGUUGUUCUUCGAUCUUCUUCUUUAGCCUUCUUCAAUUUUUGUUCCGUUUUUCUUCAAUUCUUCUUCUUCGGUCUUGGGUUGAAAAGUUUGGUUCAGAAUGUAUUUGUUGAUGGAUCUGUAAUUAACUAAUUACCCAGUUGCUGGUUUUGCUUUGAUUUGUAGUUGCUGGCUUCUAAUUAUUGCUGAUUUUGCUGGCUUUGUUCGUUGCUGAAUGUUGGUGGCAGAAUUUAGAUAUGGUCAUGUUGAUAAUUUUUUUUAUUUUUCAUUUUGUUGUGGCUGGUCUUUAAUUUUGUUUUAAUUAAUAAAACUUUUAUUAAUUUCAAUUAUGGAUAAUAGUAUUAAUCAAGAAGUAACUGCUGAUAAUAAUGCAUCUGUGAAUAGUAAUUUAUCUGUCAAUCCUCCUAUUUCGAAUGAUGCUGCAAAUCCUAAUCCUAAUCCACCGAAGCAAAUUUACAACAAGUUCUUGCAGAUUUUGAUGAUUGAUAGAUCAUGAUGUUGGGAUAUAAUAUUUAGAUAUGUUUUUUUACUAUUUAAUUUUUGAGUUUGUAUUUUGAUAAGAUCAUAUGGAUUUGGUUGAUGAUAUUUUAUGUAGUGUUUUAAAUUUCGAAGAUAUUUUAAGAUUUAUAUUAGACUAUAAUUAUAUUUUA